rnacentral:rRNA from 1 species
GGUUAAGCGACUAAGCGUACACGGUGGAUGCCCUGGCAGUCAGAGGCGAUGAAGGACGUGCUAAUCUGCGAAAAGCGCCGGCGAGGUGAUAUGAACCCUUGACCCGGCGAUGUCCGAAUGGGGAAACCCAGUGCAAUCCGUUGCACUAUCGUUAACUGAAUACAUAGGUUAACGAGGCGAACCGGGGGAACUGAAACAUCUAAGUACCCCGAGGAAAAGAAAUCAACCGAGAUUCCCCCAGUAGCGGCGAGCGAACGGGGAGCAGCCCGGAGUCUGAAUCAGCUUGUGUGUUAGUGGAACGGUCUGGAAAGUCCGACGGUACAGGGUGAUAGUCCCGUACACGAAAGCACACAUGCUGUGAACUCGAAGAGUAGGGCGGGACACGUGGUAUCCUGUCUGAAUAUGGGGGGACCAUCCUCCAAGGCUAAAUACUCCUGACUGACCGAUAGUGAACCAGUACCGUGAGGGAAAGGCGAAAAGAACCCCGGCGAGGGGAGUGAAAAAGAACCUGAAACCGUGUACGUACAAGCAGUGGGAGCCUCUUUAUGGGGUGACUGCGUACCUUUUGUAUAAUGGGUCAGCGACUUAUAUUCUGUAGCAAGGUUAACCGUAUAGGGGAGCCGAAGGGAAACCGAGUCUUAACUGGGCGUUAAGUUGCAGGGUAUAGACCCGAAACCCGGUGAUCUAGCCAUGGGCAGGUUGAAGGUUGGGUAACACUAACUGGAGGACCGAACCGACUAAUGUUGAAAAAUUAGCGGAUGACCUGUGGCUGGGGGUGAAAGGCCAAUCAAACCGGGAGAUAGCUGGUUCUCCCCGAAAGCUAUUUAGGUAGCGCCUCGUGAACUCAUCUUCGGGGGUAGAGCACUGUUUCGGCUAGGGGGCCAUCCCGGCUUACCAACCCGAUGCAAACUACGAAUACCGAAGAAUGUUAUCACGGGAGACACACGGCGGGUGCUAACGUCCGUCGUGAAGAGGGAAACAACCCAGACCGCCAGCUAAGGUCCCAAAGUCAUGGUUAAGUGGGAAACGAUGUGGGAAGGCACAGACAGCCAGGAUGUUGGCUUAGAAGCAGCCAUCAUUUAAAGAAAGCGUAAUAGCUCACUGGUCGAGUCGGCCUGCGCGGAAGAUGUAACGGGGCUAAACCAUGCACCGAAGCUGCGGCAGCGACACUUAUGUGUUGUUGGGUAGGGGAGCGUUCUGUAAGCCGUUGAAGGUGUGCUGUGAGGCAUGCUGGAGGUAUCAGAAGUGCGAAUGCUGACAUAAGUAACGAUAAAGCGGGUGAAAAGCCCGCUCGCCGGAAGACCAAGGGUUCCUGUCCAACGUUAAUCGGGGCAGGGUGAGUCGACCCCUAAGGCGAGGCCGAAAGGCGUAGUCGAUGGGAAACAGGUUAAUAUUCCUGUACUUGGUGUUACUGCGAAGGGGGGACGGAGAAGGCUAUGUCAGCCGGGCGACGGUUGUCCCGGUUUAAGCAUGUAGGCGGAGGUUCCAGGUAAAUCCGGUACCUUAUUAACGCUGAGGUGUGAUGACGAGGCACUACGGUGCUGAAGUGAUAAAUGCCCUGCUUCCAGGAAAAGCCUCUAAGCAUCAGGUAACACGAAAUCGUACCCCAAACCGACACAGGUGGUCAGGUAGAGAAUACCAAGGCGCUUGAGAGAACUCGGGUGAAGGAACUAGGCAAAAUGGUGCCGUAACUUCGGGAGAAGGCACGCUGAUGUGUAGGUGAAGCCCCUGCGGGCGGAGCUGAAAUCAGUCGAAGAUACCAGCUGGCUGCAACUGUUUAUUAAAAACACAGCACUGUGCAAACACGAAAGUGGACGUAUACGGUGUGACGCCUGCCCGGUGCCGGAAGGUUAAUUGAUGGGGUUAGCGGCAACGCGAAGCUCUUGAUCGAAGCCCCGGUAAACGGCGGCCGUAACUAUAACGGUCCUAAGGUAGCGAAAUUCCUUGUCGGGUAAGUUCCGACCUGCACGAAUGGCGUAAUGAUGGCCAGGCUGUCUCCACCCGAGACUCAGUGAAAUUGAACUCGCUGUGAAGAUGCAGUGUACCCGCGGCAAGACGGAAAGACCCCGUGAACCUUUACUAUAGCUUGACACUGAACACUGGUCCUUGAUGUGUAGGAUAGGUGGGAGGCUUUGAAGCGUGGACGCCAGUCUGCGUGGAGCCAACCUUGAAAUACCACCCUUUAAUGGCUGGUGUUCUAACGUAGACCCGUAAUCCGGGUUGCGGACAGUGUCUGGUGGGUAGUUUGACUGGGGCGGUCUCCUCCCAAAGAGUAACGGAGGAGCACGAAGGUUGGCUAAUCCUGGUCGGACAUCAGGAGGUUAGUGCAAUGGCAUAAGCCAGCUUGACUGCGAGCGUGACGGCGCGAGCAGGUGCGAAAGCAGGUCAUAGUGAUCCGGUGGUUCUGAAUGGAAGGGCCAUCGCUCAACGGAUAAAAGGUACUCCGGGGAUAACAGGCUGAUACCGCCCAAGAGUUCAUAUCGACGGCGGUGUUUGGCACCUCGAUGUCGGCUCAUCACAUCCUGGGGCUGAAGUAGGUCCCAAGGGUAUGGCUGUUCGCCAUUUAAAGUGGUACGCGAGCUGGGUUUAGAACGUCGUGAGACAGUUCGGUCCCUAUCUGCCGUGGGCGCUGGAGAAUUGAGGGGGGCUGCUCCUAGUACGAGAGGACCGGAGUGGACGCAUCACUGGUGUUCGGGUUGUCAUGCCAAUGGCACUGCCCGGUAGCUAAAUGCGGAAGAGAUAAGUGCUGAAAGCAUCUAAGCACGAAACUUGCCCCGAGAUGAGUUCUCCCUGAGACUUUAAGUCUCCUGAAGGAACGUUGAAGACGACGACGUUGAUAGGUCGGGUGUGUAAGCGCAGCGAUGCGUUGAGCUAACCGAUACUAAUGAACCGUGAGGCUUAACCUU